AGUGAACGCUGGCGGUAGGCCUAGCACAUGCAAGUCGAACGGCAGCACAGUAAGAGCUUGCUCUUACGGGUGGCGAGUGGCGGACGGGUGAGGGAUACAUCGGAAUCUACUUUUUCGUGGGGGAUAACGUAGGGAAACUUACGCUAAUACCGCAUACGACCUACGGGUGAAAGCAGGGGAUCUUCGGACCUUGCGCGAUUGAAUGAGCCGAUGUCGGAUUAGCUAGUUGGCGGGGUAAAGGCCCACCAAGGCGACGAUCCGUAGCUGGUCUGAGAGGAUGAUCAGCCACACUGGAACUGAGACACGGUCCAGACUCCUACGGGAGGCAGCAGUGGGGAAUGUUGGACAAUGGGCGCAAGCCUGAUCCAGCCAUACCGCGUGGGUGAAGAAGGCCUUCGGGUUGUAAAGCCCUUUUGUUGGGAAAGAAAAGCAGCAGGUUAAUACCCCGCUGUUCUGACGGUACCCAAAGAAUAAGCACCGGCUAACUUCGUG
rnacentral:rRNA from 1 species